AUAACCUUUUUCUUACAACUUGACCAAAUUAAUACAUUGUAUCAAUUUUCCAAUCUUAUCGAACACCCUGUAUAUCUAAGUUCUUCUGCACCCUGCACUACCACCACCACCACACCCUCGCCCCUUCUUCUUUCAUCCUGCUCCCUCUUUCGACUGCUCGCCAUAGCUCGACGUUCACCGUCGCUUCUUUCUUCUUGUGUGUAGCUCUUUGCCCGGCUCUUGUAUUUCUUUUUCUGUGUUACGUACCACGGCUCUUUGCUCUUCGAAGUCCAAGAAGUUCUGUGACGAACGACGGACAUAAGCAGGAGCAGCUGUUCCCAACAGACGUCGCUUUGCUUUUCUCUUUCGAUGUCUAUGCUCCCUCCUCUACUACCCGUUUCCGAUCUCUUGCGGUGUCCCCAUUUUCUCUUGGAAGAAACAUCCACCUCCCUUUGUUGACGAAUCGUAACGAAGUCGUAAUGAAAGGACCCUUGCAGUCGGAUCAAAAUUGGCAUUCUACGUUUUCAACUAGCCCUAGUUUACAUCGAUGGACCAUUAGUAUGCGGUGGAAUUACUAUACCAGGGUACACAAAGGAGGGAGAUAGGUAAAAAAAAAUAUUCGUGGACAGAAAGCUGAAACGUUGGCGGACUAAUUCGCUGGGACAGCGGGGAAUUACCAAAUUCUGCGGUUUUUGCUGUUUUCUCGGCGGCCUGUGUCGAACGGGACGCGUAAUUUAUUGGCGAGCGUAUCUGGGGCGGUUUUUGGUUCAACCUUCGUGCUAUGGAUUAAUUUUGAAUAAACGCACCAGUGAAAUGUUUGAUACGUGGCCGAUUGGAGAGGAUCGGGUUGACCCUGUUUAAAGAAUGAAAUAUAGAUUACGUAUUUGCGAUGAAAUUCUAAAUUGCGGGAAUAAUGAUAAAAACGUGCCCGAUGGAGAAUGAAAUCUUUUAUCCUUUUUACAUUUCAAUAAAAAUCCACUCGAUUAUAUUGACUCGAUGAUCAUAAUCCGUUAAUAUUUCGUCCUAUAAUUGCAAUUAUCCGAUCGUUAUUUCAUUUCCCAAUUUAAACGUUCCACUUAAUGCCUCUGGAAAUUAAUAUAAUAUUAAUGCUAUUUAGGAUCCUUUACGAUUUUUUUUUUUUUUUUUCGAAAAGCUUAUUCGAUUAAUUUGAAGGACGCAUAAAAUGCAGUUUCAGUCCAUCAAGUGAGAGCUUCAGGGUUCGUGCAACGGUGCAAUCUGCUUUUUGUUUUCUUUCCUGCAUGCGUCAACACGCACCGUUUGCACUUGCAACGUUCCGUGCUACGUCAUCGGGUAUUUCAACAGGGAAUAAGUGUCGGCGAAUAACGGGAAUCGAUAGCUUCUCUAAGUAAUGUAACGUUCCUCGAUGUUACACACCACAGGUGUUUAGAUACAAACUAAUUUUGAGUCGCAGGUACAUGGAUACUUUCACACGGAGUGCAUCGCGAAUGCGAGACCUUGCACGAGCAUACGUGCAGCAUUCUUUAAUACUUUCGCUACUGACGCAUACAUUGUGCUCGGUCAAUUGUUUCAAUAAUGGAUGGUGGACAAAAAUCAAUGAGUAAUAACACCAAACAACAAUAGUUCUUUUUUAAGAGACAAGAAUAUGACGCACCAUAUGUGGCAUAUGAAAAAUUGUUGGAUCGCAUUUUCUUAUUUCAUAAAUCAUUUUUCAAGUAAGUAAAUGUGAAUCGCGGAAGCGCUGUGCAUGGCUUCGGAUCGUUUCCUAAGAAAGACGUAUGUAAUGGCUUCUUAGAGUGUCCGUUGACACUGGAUUCACCGAGAUUGUACGAAAUCUCCUCUCCGUGGUACUUUGGAUUUCCGUAGUCGUAUCAGAAGCUUAGAGCGUAAUCCAUUUACACUUUAUUGGGGCACGAUGCGGCCUCUGGUCGAACGUAUUUCUGCCGCCAUCGUAUAGUGGCUGGAAACGAGGGAACGUUGUUUGUUCCUUAUUAUCUCGUGAAAUAUUGCCCUCUGGAACUUCGUUACACCGCGAUAUGUCCAGCCAUAGACGAAAUUAUGGCCUCCUCUUUGCCCACCUUUUCUUCCGUCAGCCACCCCAAAGUUCCUUUCGAAGAGAGAUCAAAACCUUUUCCAAAAUCAAUCUUUUCAACGUGACGCCAUAAUAGGUAUACUCAAAGUAUCAGACUAGUAAGCUGCGCUCCACGAUACGAAACGCCUCGUUAUUGCAACUUCUUCUCCAGGAUAUUCCUGGAAAGUUGUUGAACAGCGUGAAAUCGAUUGAAUCCUGCGAUGGAACAAGUAGAGAAGUUCACUUUGCGAAUUUUUGCCACGGUUCGCUGGCUGUUCCUUAAUUGGUACUACGAUAGCUUCGAUCGUUCAUACUUCUUUUUUCUUACUUCGCUUUUAUUUGAAUCUUUUUUUCUUUUACAUCGAUCUGCGACGAGUUUGACCCGGUUCGACUGGACGGCAAUUCGAAUAGCGAUUCUUACGGUAGAAAAAAUCGAAGCGUGUCUACACGAUGAAAUAUUUACCGGCUAUAUGCAGGUCGAACCUCGUUGUUUUUCUGGAAUCGAAGUUUGUUUAAACAUCGACUGGUGUUUGCAAAUGUAACGUACAAUUUAACGUGGAACAUGGUUGUAUAAAUAUCUUUGCUAGAUACUGCUGUAUCCGCGUGCGUUCUGGAAAAUAGAUUGUAUAUUCAAUUUCAGUAUUUGACACUUUGCAGUACAGUUUAAAUUGACAACAGAUAUCAUUGAAAUAAAUCCAACCAUUGAGCGUAAUCCGGUAUUGUGUUUUUAUAUUGAAUUACUUUAUUCUGUUGGCUAUUCAUUGUAUUUUUGUUUAGUAACAAUUGAACUUUUUGUAGUUUUUUUGUUAGUAAUCAAUUAAUUGGAGUAUCAAUGGUUGUUGUAUCUAAUUGCAAGAAAAUAAUUUGGAGUUAAUAAUAUAAAUAUUAAUUGAAUAUUAAGUGAAUGUUUUAAGAAAAUAUUAAAAUUAUCCUUCCAUAAUUUCCCCGCUGAAUAUAAAAAUUUAUGCGAUCAUCAAAUAACUCAAAUUACCAUCUACUAAUUUGACAAUGAAUAAUUUCUUCUCCGUUUUUUUACGGGUUCCGUAAAAGUUUUAAUCUUUCUUUUGAAUUUUCACAAUUGUAUCUGGGAAUUCGAGUUGAAUCAAGCUAUUAAAAUAAAGUUAAUUGUUCUUCUGCGUUAACAUUGGAACGCGUUCAGAAAAUGAAGGAAAUACAAACAGGUCGAGCAAAAUAAUUAUGAAUUAAACGAACGUAUUUCAUGAAAGUCGGUCAAUGUUCACCAUCAGCGAUUCGAAUAGUCAUCGUUUUGGUUCAUAGAACGUCGUUAUUUCUUAAUUCGAUAGGGGAAGUUAAGAAAGGUCGGGUCUAGGUCGCGUGCCUAGAUUCGCACGAUCGAACACACCCCCGUCUCGUGAUAUCGAUUUUUAAUGAAACACCCCUUCCCUCACAAUCUUACGGCUUCUCUCGAUCGUUUGGCAUAAUACCAACCCUCGUUGGCGAUUUUCGUGAAGCAGUUGCAGUGAAAAAAAUACAAUUUCUUUUUAAUCGAUAUCAGCUUAAAAAGAGAAUAUAAAAUAAAUAAUUGAUGCGAUAUUUACACAAACGAAGUACGUUUGCCAUUUUUGGAAAUCGUUCACCUGUUUAAAAGGAAGCACAAUUUUUUCAGCGCACUCGUUUAUGUGAAUAAAUGAAAAGCAAAACAAAAAGGUGAAAUAUAGGAAUGUUGUUUUAACAGCAUCGAUCGUGAACUUGGUCGAGAGCACGCGAGGAAUCUGCAGUGUUGAAUUAUUCGGGCGUUAAAUGGUGUAGGAACUAUUAAUCAGCCACCAACACCUUCGCCGGCAUUAACACGCUUUCGUACAGGAAACGAUGACAAAGGAUGUCGAACGUGUGAACAUCCUCAGUCACCGAACACUUGAUCCUCUUUUUCACCAUCCUGCUUGCAGUGUCACACGAUGCUUCCAAAAAUGACUCAAUGGAUGCCAUCUUUCAUAAAAAAGAGAACAAAGGAUUUCACCAUGAAGAAAAAUAACGUUUAACCCUCGAAUAGCAUUAGCCGGUUCAGUCGCGACUAGACAUUCAAAUUUCUAAACGUCAGCCUUUCAUAUGUAUGAAAAUAUAAAAUUUGGGUCAGCAAAGCUUUGCCAAGGAAGAGGUAGCUAAAUUAGUUCUAUUUAUUCAAAGAUAAGUCAAAGCGUUAAAGUGAAAUUAGUCGGUAGAAAGUAGAGUCGGCUAAAUACAGAGGCGAAACUGAUGGAGCGUAUACCAUUUAUCGCGUUUCGUCAAAGAAACAUGCAUAUUCAAAUUUCUUCGUCUGACGUUAAACAGUGGACGAUGAAUAUUCAUCGCUCGGCAUUUCACUCGCAGCUUCGAUAAACGCAAACGGGUAUCGCGAAUUAAGUCGCGAACUACGUGCUUAUAAUCGCGAUCGAAGCAUCGCCCUUUAACGAACGUUUCAAUAACGCGGAUGCAUUGUGAAAGUUCACCACGCACAUUGCGUGACGAAAAAUCUUGUCAACCCUUGCGAUACCUGUUUCGUGGUCGAUGUGUAUCGGGUUCUUCGUGUUUCCUGUCAGUCGAGAGUUUCCGCAGAAUUCGGGUCGCAAUCAGGAUGUAUGAAAUUUAAUAUCGACGCUCCUGUUGCGAUGCGAGUCUAUCGGAUUUGCAUGUGAUAGCUGAAAGCCCUUGUUCAGUGCUCUUUCGCUUUUACUAUCGUACAGAGAAUCGAAAAUAGACGCGCACCGUCAAAAUUGCAAAUUUUUAAGGAGAUCUAGGGAACACUUAGCGCGGACCAUGGUGAUGUCAGUCCAUGAUCCUAAUUUCUAAUUUUUCUCUUCAACGCGUUGAUCGUGCCAGUAUUAAUUACGAUAAAACGUAAAAUUUUCCAUUUUCCGCUAACCCAAUAAAACAGACAAGAGUAGUUAUAUUUCAAAUACAGAAGAUUAACGUUGUAGACGUAUCUCGAUUAUCUUUUGUUCGUCGUCGAGUCGUUAGCUUAAUCCCAGAGGAACGUUCAGGCUACGCGUGAUCACAAUCUGAACGGGAAGGAACAAUGUAAGUCGUAAGAGAAAUUAAACGUCGAUAUUCGUUAUCGAAAGCCAGCCGAGUGGAGGGUCUGCUGGCGGUAAUUAACUUCGUUCGAUCGGCAACGAGGCUGCAUUGUUCUCGUGGAGUUGGAAAAACGGCACGGAGACAAUAGACCGUCUAAUAGAUCGAUAUUCUACGUGAGAGGUUUCAUUGAUUUCCCGGGGAAAAACGCGUUACUCCUCGUUCCGGAUAAGACUCGGUCAAUCAUCUUCAACUUUGAACUGUAAUCACUAUGUACACAUCACGGUCUCGAUGUGUAUUUCGGUCAAUCUUAUUACACGGGUGUAAUCGAAUACACCACGGUUAGCCUAGAAAUUUCUACGGCUUUUGAACCUAGUUUACAAGCCUUGUUGGUACCUUUUUUAUUUUCUGACACGAGGCUACACAGGAACCCGGAAUGCCGCAAAAUUACAACCUGUUAACCCUAAUUGAUCCCUGAGUUUUUGUCACCACUCGCGGCUUAUUAGCAACGCUUCUAGCUCGAGUACGCUUGCACCUAAACACGCCGAUCAGAACAAUUGUAUUAUUUUAUUCUUGUCGCUUGAACGCCUUGAAAUGGAUCGUCGAUUGUAAGCGAGAUCGCGAUCGAGGAACGUAAGAAACGUCGGGUCACAGUUAACGCGUUAAAGUGGUAUUCCAUUUGCUAUAUUUAGAAGAUACCUUAUUUUACAUAUCGCAAAUGAAUGUUAGUAUUAAGAACUAUAUUUAAUAUCGGCAAUAUUAAAUUGAUAAUUGAAUUUACUGGACCUGAUGAAAGGAUCGAUCGAUUUCACUUUAAACACGUUCCCUGAUAAUUCAACUCCCACUUUCAACAAUAUCAAUUACUUAGAACUUGCCCAUCAGAAUAUUAUUACUCUGCUUCGUAAUUGAAAUAUAACACAAUUAAUUUGAUUCUAUUCUUGGCAGAACAAACCGAACGGCCUAUCCGAUCUCCAAACAAAGGAUUUUUCAAAUUUCAAAGAUGUCUAGACACAGAUUUGUUAUCGGAAUAUGCUAUCGCGAUGGGAUUCAAUCGCACGACACCGGUUAUUGUAACCGAACAAUGGGAAAAAAAUGAACAGUAGUCUGGUCAAUUUCCUUUCUAUCGUUUUUCAAAUGUAUCGUCGAGAACGUCGGUUAGCUAAAAUGCAAUAUUUCAGAGUACCCACGGAACAGUACCAUUAUCCGAAUUGAAAAACAUCGCGGCCGCAGAUAGGCCAAUAGGCAACCUGAAGAGUCAGUAGUUUCACUUUCUGGCUGGUUUCCAACGACCCGGAGACCUGAAUCCCUGUUACAUGUCGAUCGAUAUACAUAUUCUUUUUUAGCGAGGGAAAUCGUCCGUUAUAUCUUGAUCACAGAUUUAUUCGUGCCAUUUUGCAGCUUAUCGAGGAACACGUGAUCGGAAUAUAACGGCAGCCAGGGAUAUUUAUUGGAAAACUUUUUUGUCUUCUUGCCUCUUUAAGCAGCUUAUUCGUGACGUACGAAUGAGUCAAUAUAUAUACCGUUUACGGAUACUUUCGUCAUCGUGACUUUAUUGAAUAUUUAUUAUUUUCAUUUUUAACAACAUUUCGCGUGUCUUGUACGUUACCGAAGGGGUUGGAUCACGUUGAUGAUCGAUGUUCAAUGUCCUAAGUUUGUAGCAAACUUCGUUUGGAUUAUAUUGAAAUUUUCAUGAAAUAACAAGGUUUCGUUACCUUCGGAUUCUUAUAGAAAGCGCCAAUUUUUCGCGUCAUCACCUUGAGGGAAAUUAUCACUCGUUACGAGACCUAGCCGACUCGUUGUUGGCGAGCUUCGUCCAGUGCAGAAACAUUCAUACAGGAUGGGACAGCAUUAGUAUUUAUUAACCUAAGGUCGUCCCGUAAUUGACGUAAUUACCACCUCGAGAUAUUCCGCGAAGAUUGGGAAAAUUACUUGUAUCAGUCGUACACACCCUGCUUCCAAGUUGCUAACGACGCUUUGAAUUUGAUUAACCGUAAUUGAACGACACCUUUUUGCUAUUUCAAAGCUCUCUAAUGUAAAAGCAAUAAUUUCUUAGUUUUCUUUAUUUUUAUAUGUUACUUAAUCAAGCGUUCGAUACCCGGGCGAUCGAUUAAUCAGGUGCAGGAUUUAUUUUAAAGUGCCACCCCGUUCCCUGAUAAAGUUCGAUUCCCUGUUUCGCCAUUAUAUCCAGCGGAUAUUGGGGUCGCACGCAUUGCCUCUUCUAUUUCCAAUUAACAAUUAACGCACAAUUUAUAUGAUAAUGCGACGCGCGAAGAACAGCUCACGUCGCCAUUCAAUUAUCGUUCGUUUAUCUUUUUUCCCGAUAUUUGCCCGUAAUUUUGCGCGCAUGCUAAAAGGACCUUAGGUAGCAGGCAUAUCGACCAGGAAUAACAAUUUUUAAUUUAUUUAGAGGAGCAAUAUUGCACUCGUGGGACGGCGGUCUGCUACUUAGGGUAGAUAUACUACACUUAUGGGGUUGGUACUGGAGAUAGCAACUUGCCUCUUAGAAUCUGUACUUAUGGGGAUGGUGAGUUUUGGAAAGGUAGAAAUCUUGAUGCUAGAUAGGGCAAUAUCUAUACUUACGAGGUGGGAACUGGGAAUAACUUUUGCCAUUUAGAAAGGUAGUUUUACCAUUUAGGUGAUACUGUAUUUAUGAAAUGGAAAUUGAGAAUAGCUUUGUCAAUAAGAACAGUAAAACUCUUCCCAUUUAGAUAGAUAAUACUGUACUUAUGGGAUAAGGAUUGAGAAUAACAACUUUCACUAUUUAGAAAGGUAGAAUUCUUGUCACAUGAUCGAUACUACAGUUAUACAUAGGAUUAUAACUAGAAAUGAUGAUAUUUGCCGUUUACAAGGUGGAAAUCUUGUCGUUUAAACAACAGUAUAUCUAACCAAGAGCUAAUAUUUACGAGUACAGCUGUCCAGGGUACAAUCGGUGUUCAUUAAUCAAAACAGAGGGUAGGUUCUAAAUCCAAAUCACAAUUAGCUACUUCGCUCGCGAGUUAAUAGCACUCGACGUCGGUAGCCACUUUUCGAGCCGUUUCUCUGCUAGUAAACGACAUUGUCGUCCAGCGUGACGAUAAAUCAGACCUGGUCAUCAUUCAUAGCCGUUAGUUAACGAUACGGGAACUACAAUUAUUUUAAUGGUCCUGGCUGUCGACCGGCUGGGAAUCCUGUCUCGCUUCGCCUCGCGUGGCCAUCGAUGUUCCGCUACAUCCAACCCUCUCCAACACCAUCCAUAAUCUCUGUGGCUCGCAGCUAGAUGGAAUUUAUUGAUAAAACGCUACCGUGCGUACGUAUGCACCCCUGACCGAGCGGCGUCAGUAAGUCGUUUCGACGGGAACACGUGUACCCCUGUUACCGGUAUCACGCUUCUACCCCCGAACACGUUACGACCACGCGUGUGUCCUGUAUACGCGAUCGAAUUGAAACAAUUGCUUGUCCACCUCGAUACGUCAUCAAGAUCGGUGCUUGCAAUUCGUCUAAUUUACACGCGUGUGACAAUAGAAUGAAAUCUGUCCACACUUUACGAUUCGAACGAAAGGUUUUUAUUUAAGUAGCCUAUGAUUUUUUUUUUUCCGAAUAAAAAUGAAAAUAGCGACAAUACGAGUCCAGCUUUUAAACUGUCCAUACGAAACGUCGAAUGCAUUCUUUUGUACCUCCUUCGGCAUACCAUUUCCGUCAAUUGCCGCUUUCCGUUUCGUUGGAGCCGCGCAUUCAGAUAGCAUCGGUUAUAAUACCCAUCACGCUAAACGUUUUUCCUAAGCGAGCCUCGUGAAAGCAAUCUUGAAGGUAUCUCUCGGCGAAGAUGCCAAACGUAAUCUUCUGGACGCAUCGAACGUUGAAUGGCACAGCGUGACUUCCACGCAGCACGAGUUGAAAAAUUGGUCGCUCGAUAGAAACGACUCCUACAUACGUGUGUAGUCAGCUUCCUGUCGUUUCGCGAUGAAAAGAUCCAUUUGCUGCCGGUCGACUCGUUUCGACUCGGGACGACCUGAAAGCACGGAUGUUGAAGGUAUCACCGAGUGUUUACCUGGCCAGGUGUUGGUUCGUUUCGUGGAAAAAUGAGAUACAGGGAAGGUGUAACCCGAGUCGCUGUAAAUCUGACCUGCUCGUUAAGUUGGAACCAUUUUGUUGAAGUUUCCACGAAAACAUCCAUGUACGAUCCACUGUACGAUUCGUUCUACCAUUCUUCGUUGUACGAUUUGUUCUACCAUUUUAACUCGUCAGUUCUGAAAAUUAUCGGAUCUACCAUAGAAUUGAUCAGAUAUUGAGCAUCGUAAGAAGUGCAUGGGAUAAUAUAAGGGUAGUUGCAUCUGAAUGCAUUGCAUCUCGCGUUUGAUCAUCUGCUGAUAGUAAAUGCGCUUAGGUUCGUUAAAAAUCGCAAGUGCAUUCGAAUGGAAAGAUCACGAGAUAUUCUCAUGCCGAUUUUAACGGAAUAUUUAUAGUGUUUUCUUCGCUAAAUGACUUUAAAGCGUUUAAGUUACAGUAUCCGUAAAUCAUCAUUCGAACACGAGUAUCAAAAGAAAAAGCGUAGAAUGAAAAUGAUAAAGUGUUUUCUUAAGCUUAAUCAACUCCAGUUAAUUAUAAUAAACCGUGUUCGUAGGGAUUAUUAACAUGGUCUGCAACAAGAGAGGAAGAUAAAGAAUUUAAAGUGGAAAUAUCGCGUUUCACGGGUCAUUAAUUCGUCUUUGUUUAUAUCACCAUUAUCCAGCGAGUCCGGUAUCUGCAAAUAAUAUGCCAUUGUGCUCAGAUAAAUCAACUUUAUCGCACACGACGAAAGGAUUUCCAUUUUUUCUUGAUAACAGUUUUGCGCCUAACGUUGCCCACCUUUUCGUGCUCCAUUUCGUGUCGCGCUAAUAAUUCCUCGGGAAUAUUAGUCUCGAAAGAUUCCGAGGCGAAAACGUUUGGCUUGCUGAUAGCAAAUAGAAGCGUGUUGUCGGCCAGGAAAAACUGACCUCCUUUGAAACAUUACGGGGGAGUCGCGUGAAAUAUCGUCGGAGAUAUCGUGAAAACGCCGUCGUUCAUUUCGACAUGGAUCCCAUUGUCUUUUCUUUUAUCACCAAGCCAUCGCGAUAUCAGUCUGUGAAUGCCGGCGCUGCUUUAUUAGAUCCGUUUGUUUUUUAUCAAUCAACGAAAAAACCGCGUCUGUUCUGUCGGUUAUUAAUAUUCGUUGCGUUGAUAAAAUCGACGCCAAGUUUUGACAUCCGUAUUUCGAAUCAACGAUUCAGAUUAAAUAGUAUAAAAUUCAGAAAAUGAUUAUUCAUUACGGUGGCCGUUGUUUUAAAAACGAAUUACAUCACUUCUUUCCUCAUCAAUUUACACAUAAUAGAGGAAAAGCGUUUGGAAUUUCCCAAAGUAAUCUCUGUUUCGAGUCGCAUUCUCGUUCCAUUCUCUUCAUUUACAUGUACCUAACUAGAGAAAAUCGGCAAGCUACUCGCAUCGAUGGACAAGGAUCGCGUGUAACACGGUUAACAUCGAUGCGAUAAAGCGUUUCUUCAAAGGACCUCGCUGGUAAACGACCAAAGCUCUUCCGUUUCACCGUCUACAAUCCAAUUAUAAUUUGAAAUCGGCCACGGUGGGAGAGCUCGAUUAAAGGGGCGUGCUUUGUGCGUCGCUAACAAGUGGCGAAAAUCCACGCCUCGUUAAAAUUACGUCAAAGGGAUCGCAUCCCCCGUGUCGAAAAUGAAUUCCUUGCUCGCUGUCUCGAGAGCACGUAUAAACGAAUUCGGUGCCUCUUCCCGGAGCCGUAAAGUCGAGACACCGGGAAAAGUGUGUCUGAAAUUUGAUGCGAAUGGGGUGCUUCUGGUGAAAAUUUAACGGGAUCAUUAUUUCUGCUCAAACUAUGGAACAACUUUAACCUAAGUUGAAUCUAAGAUGGCUCUAAUAAUCUUGAGUUAACAGUUAAGGGGUUACGCCACUCUGAAACAAGAAAAAAUAGGCAUAUUUUGGGAAUUUUUUUUUUUUUAAAUGAUGGAAUAAAUCCAAAUUCUGUAAGCAUGCCUUUAUUUUACAACUAAUAAACUUCAAAAAAUAAUUCUUGUACAGUGAUUCAAGUCAAACUAUGGGCUCUGCAGCAUUUCUUCGAUUUUGUAGGGCUAAACCAGCAGCUUUUGCAAUUUUUAACUUAUGAUAAAAAACCAAAAUAUUUUCGAUUAUAUAUGAGAACAGCUACCGAACUACGUAGGAUUUUUUUGAUAUAUUCAUUUUUGCAAAAAGUGGCGUAUUUUUUAAGAGAAAAUGUAAAAUUUCAAGAAAAAAGCAUCAGAAAAUUAUUUAUAACAAAAUAACUAUGCAUUAUAAUAAAAAAAAUCCUGCGUGGUUCGGUAGAGAAUUUAAUUUUGAUACUGUUAAAUUUUCAAAUCGAUUGAUGAUGAUCUGUUUGAUUUAUGAGUCCGCCCAGUUUGAAAAAUGCGGUUUCGAGAAAACUGCGUUUAUUCUUCAGUAAUAGCAGUAGCAGACCGGAAGGGGCUGCGCCAUAAUUCGAAAUUCGAGUAAAUUUUCCCACCCAUAAUCUUUUGCCAUAUCAUUUUUAAGAUAUUAAGGCACCUUUUAAGCAAAACAAAAUUUUGAUUUUUUCAAAAUACUAAAGUGGCCUAACACCUUGAUAACUUUGGAUAAAAAUCUUAGUUACUAUGCCAAUGAUCCCUGAGCGGAGAGCCGCGUUGGAUAUCCAACGGGAAGCGGUGAACUGUUCAGGACAUCCUCCUCGUUUCUGACGGAAGUGUGUCGGCGUUAUCUCGACCGAGCCACGUUCGACUCGUGGCGACUUUCGUCUGAAUAACUCUCGGUAUCUGGUUGACCCAUCUUGGGAAACGUACGUAGGAGCGGAACCGGAGGAUGAAGUGGACUCGCAAGACGCAGCCUCGGCGCCUCCGCAAAGGAAACGCGAAACGAACGCACCUCGACUUCCUCGAAGGAUGAACAGAGACAAAGAGAAGGUCGUGCCACGAUCCGACGGGGGAUUCGUGCAAAAAAUAACCGCGAUUCCGAUCUCGUUGUUGUUUCUCUUCGGAGGAACAAGAAGUUAGAGAGACGUGCCUGAACGCACCGAUUCGAACAACUUCGCGAACGUUUCAAUUUCGGACCGACGAUUUUGCUGCGUGCUCGGAUUCCUGAAUUCGAAGGAUAAUGGACCUCAACAUCGUUUCUUGCACCGUGUUUCACACUGAUUCGAGCAGAGAAUAGAAUAAAGGAUUUCUGGUUCAGAAUGCGGCACUUAGGUAACCGCUGAGGGGGUUGAUGUGUUGGAAUGAAUUUUUUCUUGCUGUAAUAUGUGGAGAACGCGUGAAAGAAAUAUCAAUUUCCUUUUUACAUUUCUAAUCGCAAGAACUAUUCUCAUUCGAAAACUAGACUUUCAUCCGUCCGGUGGCACAAGGUCCUUGUAAACGACUUCGAUCGAUAAAAUUGUACGUUGAAAAUGAAAGAGAGAAAAGAGGGAGGAAAAAUGAUGAAAAGAUGAAAUUGUCUUUUCGCGAGAAAAUAUAAAAUUGUUAUACACGUUCAAAUUAAGAGGCGUCGCUGGUGUAGAACAUUAACAUCUGGCAGAGCACGAAGCCCGAGGAAAAUAUAAUAAAGCAAACGCGACUGUGAAAUAAAAAAAUAAAAAUAAUAAAAAGAACCUACUACCGUGCGAAUGCCGUAUGAAAUUAUAAUUGCAUUGAACCGACGCGACGGAGGCGCUGGUGUUUCUCAUUUGUUAAGCAAGUCGCGCAUUGACGUCACGCGGCUACGAGAAGCAGAGCCAAAGCAACGGAAAACGUGUGGCUCUUUGGUGAAACGAAACUCGAGCAUGUUCGUCGGGGAUGACGAUGAUGCGGUUGUACGCUUGGCUGUCUCUGCUGUUUGCUCAGAAGUCCCGAAGGUAUCGACACACAUUCACACGGGCAUAUUUUUCGACUAGCUGCCACUGCUGCUUCCUUUUUCUUCCUCUUCUUCUUCUUCUUCUUCGUUGGGAUGCUUCGGGGCGAAGAAUGUACACACGAGCACGCGCGCCUCCCACAGUAAAUGUGGGUCAUUCUGUAUGCAUAUGCGCAUAGAUGCACCCGGUCCUGCACCCGAAUGCCCCAAUGACCCGGUUUGCGAAUCCCAACGUGUAACCUCGCCUCUGUGACGCGCGCACUCACCGAAUCAAGGUAAACCCUCCCGAUACAUGCUCGCUAUUAGCCCACUUGUCUUGCUUCUUUGUUCCCUGUUUGCUCGAUCCCCAAACCGCGAUCCUUCCUCUGAUCCUUACUCGAGGGCCUAGUUUUCGAGUACCGCCAGCUUCGUGUUGCCAUACUUAUAUGUAUAUUGACGAGGAGCCCUUCUAUUAGAUCAUUUCAAAAUGUUAACCCGCAGAUGUUGAAGUAUCCGUCGGAGUAGCAGAACAGAGGGAUUUGGAAAUUUUACCAUCGUCGAGUCACUUUUCGCGCUAUGCUCCCCUAUAGGUACCAAGAAUCCAUUCGGAAGGUCGGCGACGGACGGUACUUAGGACUUAUCGUUAGACCUCCCCAUGUUCUCCAGUAACCUAAUUUGUUAUCUUUAAAAUAGAAAUUAAUCAGUUUACGUUCCUCUACUUCGUUUUCUCGUAGAGCUUAAAAAUAGUAAGAUAACAUGGAUGCACAUUUAUCUUCUUUUUUUCCCCCGUUAAAACAGAAUCGACUAAUUAAGUGUCGUCCUCGGUCGUGUGUACUAAUAACGUGUUACCUAUUUCAGUGUGAAAUACUGUUUUUCUAGAGUAUUUAUGUAAUAACUCUGUGACCUAUUUCAGCUGGCGUUUAAGUAUGUAAAUUGCACAAAAUAACUAUUGUGCCAUGGUUUAAGCUUCUUUUUUAAAUUGUUGCCUUUUAAUGUUUUCACGUUAGCUGAUCUAACAUGUUUCAGCACAAUGUUAUCUUGAUUAGGUUUUCUUGCAUUGUACGUUUAGAAUCUUUCUCACAGCUGUAUGAAUUAAUUAAUGUUUAAUUACUCGGAUGACAGAAAGUUUCAAUUUCGCUAAGUUACUUUCUAAGAAUUUUACAGCUUUAAUUUUAAAAAAUUUUCAUUUUAACCAUCUUGGUCACACGAUUUCACAUAUUUUCGUUAAAAAUAUAAAACAGCAUGCAAUCUGUUGGUGAUUUAUUCAACGAUUGUUAAUUGCGAUUCAGCCGCCAUCGACUUCGAAUAGAAUUUAUUAAAAAAUUGCAACCAUCAUUUAUUUUAUUACUUGGAACAUAUUUAUUUGAAAGCUUGUUCCGUGAAUAACGAAUCCUAUUAUAAAUAUUAAAACUAAAUUCCAUUAGAAUGCCCCAUUGCUUAACGUGAUAUUUUUUUUACUCACGAUUUAUUGUAUGAAUUUUUUAAAAAUUCACGCGCCAGCAUUUCGCGUUGAAAAUACAAUUACUUCAUGCGUCGUUUAACCCGCGAAAUCGUUUCGGUAGUUACGCAAGGUAUCGUGUUAUUUUACUACAACGAAGCAACCUUGGCUUAAUUAUCAAACGUCGUUUUUAAUUAUCAUCAUUAUACAAUUUUAUUUUUAAUUUCAACUUGUUCAGUUUCUAUCUCCUGUCGCAAUAUUUUUUAGACACUCUGUAUAAAUAUAGCAAGACCGAGGAUCAAUCCUUUCUCCGUGAAGUGAAAGCAGUGAAAGCCAAAUAAAACGAGCAGGUUGAUGAAAAGAACGAAAUAGAUGAUACUAGCGACAGAAUGUAUCGCGUGAAAACAAUUAUCUUCAUAAAUUUUUUAUUUAUUAAUUAUCUUCACUUAUUUGUUCCUUUAUUUAACUCGUCAUUUAUAAUUAACAUAGGAGCUUAAUUAGCAAAAGAGACAGAAUUAAAUAGUACAUACAGAGAAAAUUAUUUUUAAUUACAUUGCACGUCAAGGAAGUUUAAUAAUCCGUAUCAUUGUGUCGUCGUAUAAAUACACAUUACUGUUUCUGUUAAUUAAUUUUGCUUAUAAUACCCGUUAAUUUGUAGUAUUUACAUGUUCAAUUUAUUUAUGAACGGUAUCGUGUUCAUUGAUUUCUAUGGAACAUAACUAUAACGGCACGUUAAUAGGAAUAUUAAUAGAAUUGUGAAAUAUAAAGAGGUAAAUCUAUGCAAUAAAGAAGAUUGCGUAAACGGAUGAAACUAUGCAUCUGAUUAUUUAAAAUAACCGGGAGGACGCGUUUGAGCGACUGGAAUUAAAUUGAGGAGACGUAUAAAUGGCUGUCACUUGAGAUAUUAAUUAUAAAACACUCGUAUCCCUCUUCUAUGCAACAUUGGCUGCAGCUGUAUUAUUUUGAUAACCAAGUGUCGUGGUACAGAAUUUUCAUUUUCCAAAUUUAUGACGUUGAAACACCAUUUUUCAUUAUUUUAUAUGUACCGAAGUAUUUCAAUUUACAACUAUAAUUUAUAGUUUUUAUAACUCAAUCCAAUUUGAUUUAUAAUGAUCGUUUUUUUAAAUGCAUUUAUCGCAAGAAGAAACGAAUGGAUGGUUUCUGGUGGCUUAAUCUUAAAUGGUCAAAGCCCGAGUCAUUAACGUCAUCAGUGUGUCAGUCAUGAUGUUCGCAUCACGGCCUGUCCAAGAUUCGAUGAAAAACGGUAUCUUAAGCACUCAUCGAGCGAAAUAGUGUCGUCUGGAUAAUGACGUUUUUAGCGCUAGCCUCUCCAAUGUAACAGCUCUAUAUAGAGUGCGGCUGUGACCUAGAAUCUUAAAGACAUAUUCCUUGGAUUCGUCGCUGUUAACAACAUGACCAUAAUAAUCCAUAGCCUUCGUUCUGGAUUUCAAAACGACCGAGUCAGAUUCCUAUGAAUCAGUUUUCUUACCUUCGUAGUUUAUGUACUUUUACGUAAAACGUAUCUCUGAAAGUAAUCCAGAGCAUGAGAAAUAAGCGAAAUAAAAUGAUAAAAGGAUUUUGUAAAAAUUGUCAUGCAACCAUGAUAAACGAUUGUUUAUCCACUGGUGAACCAGAGUUGGCUCGAGUUUCUAUUUCUAUUCACCACGUGCGUUGGAAAAUUUUCUUUCACCCAUAACUCAGCUAGGGAUCAUUUCAUGGAUAUUUGCCCAAUAGAGCGACUUAAUGGAUUCAUCAUGCUUCCAUACCAUAAUUAGCUUAGCGGCGUAUCAACGAUACUCCAGUGUGUUUUGAGAGUGACUUUGAACAGAUGUCAAA